rnacentral:lncRNA from 1 species
GCAUAGUCCCUACCGCUCGGCUGUUCUUCCACUUCUUCACAUUCCAAAAUCCGAAGAAGGGCAGCCUUUUUAUUGCAUGUGCCAGCCGUGCUACCUCCAUCACUCACUCUGCUAUCUUGAAAGAUCCUCCGACCAGGCGGAACAAGAGUGAGUUUAUCUUUGUGGAUUGCAGGUUAUGUCCUGGCAGCAGACUUCUCCCUGCAUCCACUAGUGGCCGCAAGCCUAUUCCUCGUCCUGAUCUGACUGAGGAAGAGGGAGCUUCCGUGCAAAAGCUCGCCUUUUUGCACCCUAUCGCUGUGCCUGUCGGUCACGCGAUUGAAGAUACUUUUAACCGACAAG